CCAUAGCUUCUCCGGUCAGGUGCCCGCCCUUGCGGCGGGAGAAUCGGGAAUCCGGUGAAAGACCGGAACGUGCCCAACGCUGUAAGGCGGAUGCUCUUUUUCUCAUGCCACUGAAGCAAUUCGGGAAGGCGAAAGGGGCGGAUGAAGCUUAGUCAGAAGACCGGCCUGGCAGGAUAGACCGAAC
rnacentral:ncRNA from 20 species